AAUGAACGCUGGCGGCAGGCCUAAAACAUGCAAGUCGAACGCCUGUAGCAAUACAGGAGUGGCGCACGGGUGCGUAACACGUGGGAAUAUGCCUAUUGGUACGGAACAGCUCCGGGAAACUGGAAUUAAUACCGUAUGGUCCCUUCGGGGUAAAGAUUUAUCGCCAAUAGAUUAGCCCGCGGUGGAUUAGCUAGUUGGUAGGGUAAUGGCUUACCAAGGCGACGAUCCAUAGCUGGUCUGAGAGGACGAUCAGCCACACUGGGACUGAGACACGGCCCAGACGCCUACGGGAGGCAGCAGUUAGGAAUAUUGGACAAUGGGCGCAAGCCUGAUCCAGCCAUGCAGCGUGAGUGAUGAAGGCCUUCGGGUUGUAAAACUCUUUAGCCGAUGAAUAUAAUGACUGUAGUCGGAAAAUAAGCCCCGGCUAACUUCGUGCCAGCCGCCGCGGUAA
rnacentral:rRNA from 1 species